CGUGAGGAAACAGCAGGUGGUGCAGUAUUCUAGUCGCUGAGACCUGCUUCAAAGGCGGGCCUAAAAAUCCGUCAAGGGCACAUCGAUGAAGUUCCUGGUGCUGGCUUUCAACGCCCAGUUGGGGGCUUGUGCUGGGAGUUAAGGAGAAAGGGCGAUCUACAAUGGCAUGUAGGCGUUGACCCUUUCUCCGCGGAGGCUCAAGUUCGUGGGAUAAAACCUACGGCUUUGAGUUAAACCUGCAUGCGGUGCCAGAUGAGCGCUGUGUGCAGUGUAGCCUGCCUUGAGUGGUGCUGGUGGAUGCCGUAAAAAGGCUUUUUGACCGCAAGGGCCCUGCGGAAAAAGCCUGUGCUGAAACCUUCACUGCAAAAGAGGCUAGAAGCCGGUCGAAGCGUUGAGGAAAACUCCUAGACUGUCUGCCCUGCCGGCAGCAUCUGUCGGGGAUUAAAGUGUGGACUAAGUGGUAAUCUAGCCCUGUUACCGGCAACGGAACAGAACGGGCUUAAAGGGGAACCACCAGAACGGCGACGUUCUGGCGCCUCGUUGGGAAAACCUGCUAGACCUAAGCCACAAUAUUUACCCGGCAGGUGACCACCUGCAGAUAUUGUUUU
rnacentral:sRNA from 1 species